AUGCUCUUGAUACAAAUUUCAAACAAUACAGACAUACACAGAGGGAAAAGAAAAGGGGCCCUUCCCCUACCUCCUUUUCACAUCUGAAAGAACCCUGGAAUUGAACAGACCUGAAUUCAAAUUUAGAUGUCACUGCUGAUCAGUUUUAUGUAUGUUGCAUUAGCUGUGUACUCAACAAGCCUUGAUUUUCUCCUAUGUAAAGUGACUAUGCCAACAAUGGCCUUGUAGGAUUUUUGUGAGGAUAUAGUGAAUGUGUGCAGAGGCCUGGCUGGUGGUAGGCACUGUGACAAUUAUCCUUGUUGGUGGGUUGAUUGCCUGUUCUCUGUGUCAUGUGUACUCGGCAGACUCCAGUUGAUAUCAUACUAGAAAAUAAUUUCCUCUUUCUGAUAAAUGCUGGCCCUUUUCUGCAAGAUUGCUUUAAAAUCGGAGCCAAUGGAGUCAUGAAGCUGUGAGCUCUCCAUGCAGGAGACAGUGUUUCCAGCAGCUUGAGGGGCUGCCGCUUCCCCACUGAGCUUCAGCAGGUGUCCUAGUGCAAGGCUGUCCUAUUCUUUGACUAGCAAGAUCUUUUCAGCCUUUUAUGAGGAUGGGCACACUCUGGAUAUCUAUUUCUGAGAACUCUGACAUUCGGGAGAGAAGAAUCAGGUGAGAGAAAUCCCAGCUUGGAUGGACAUUCUCUGAAUGUCCCCUUGGAACAUCUGCCUGCUCAAAAUUUUAGGCAUGACACCAUAAACCCUGCUAUUUAUAUUGCACUAAAUUCUGCAAAUAUCUUUAGUAACACUAAACCCUCGGUUUUAACUGCAUCUCUAAUUAUAACCUUUUUAAGAUUUACGGUGGUGUCAUGCCAUCCUGAUUAAAGUGCCGUGAUGAGCAAGGCUGUUGGCGCCUAGUGACAGCGCUGCUGAUGAGAAGGUGUCACUAAAGCUGACCUUCCAUCACUUCCUAAGUGAGCCAUCACUUAGGAUGGAUGCAGAGGUACCAAUGAGCCACUGGUCUUGAUCCCAGGAUCAAAAGCCUCUCAGGCGAGGCAUCUCCCUGUGUGGUCUUCAGGAGCCAGCAUGCUGUGUGAUUCCCAGGGAGCCAGAGGAAGCCAUGCUCUUGUGAUGGCAUACUUAUAUCAUUGGCCUCGUGUCAUUUGUCUACCUGAUCAGCAGCUGCUAUGAGUAUGCCUGAAUGAGCAGCAGGCUCUGUAAGAGCUCAGUCAGCAAGUAGAGAUGUUAAAUUAUCCCAUGUGUUUAUCAAAAGUUUAUUGAGCACCUUUUGUGGCAGAAACAUGGGCUAUAAUAACAAUGACCAUUGAUUGAAUUUGUGGAGGGGGAUGGGCACUGAUAGAAACCAGUUUGAACUCACUACGUUUAUGAGGAAUCCAUACUGAGAAGGGAGAGGUAGAGGCGGGAGUGGCAAGAGGGACAAGUCGAGGGCUGAUGCAGCUUCCACAAAACCUCAGCCAACCCAGAGACAGCUCUGGAGUGGAUUUAUCCAACAGAGGUGAUCUCUUUGGGUCCAAAUUGCUGUGCUUCUGUACCCUACCUCACUCCGUCCCCAGAUGCAGGCUCUCCUAGGAAGGCUGACCUUGGCUGAGGCUGACCCUGAAGGAACUGACACCUGGGGCUGUUUGCUAAGCCGACUCCCUGAAGCUGAGCCUCAAGUCCUUCUUUGAAACACGGUUGGGGGCAGCACAUCUCCAUGGCAUGCAUAACUUGAUGAGGAGCUUGAGUUGGGCCUGACCCUGACGGGCAAGUCGGGCUUUGGAAGGCAGAAAGGAGCAGGAAGAGCUUGCCAGCUAAGCAAAACACUGUGAGCAAUGGUAUGGAGGCAGAAACAGAGGAUGUUGUGAAGAAGAGCCAAUAUGAAAACCAUUGCAGUGUGGAUGCCUGGGCAGGGAGGCUGUCACCUUGAGAAAUGGCCAAGGGCCACCUCUGGUAUGACUUUCUCUGUUGUUGCUUUCUAGCUAUCCACUGAAGCCUGUUUCUCCUGCCCACUCUAAGGAAGUCAGGCCAACAUGGGGGUGUGUCUUCCCAAGUGACCCCCGUUGGCUUUUGUUGGUUGUUCUCUAGGUUAUUGCCUUGGACAACUGAGAUUAUCUGUUUCUUCUCACAUAGAGUCUGGAUUUUCAAGGCUCAGCUCAUCCUUGACUAAGAUCGAGGUGACUUCUAGGGUAGCUGACCGGGGCCUUGAGAAUCUCCCUGGGCCCUCUCAUUCUUUUCUCUUCAUGGGCUCUUUUGAGGUGAGUGCCAAGGAUCUGGGUAGAGCUUUCCUAACUCCCAAGCUUGGAGAGGCCACUCUAGCUCUUGGACUGGCAUCUGGGCCGGAAGCCACCAGCCAGGAAACCCCUAUUUGCUGGGCAUCUAAUAGCCCCUCAGAUGGUGAAAGGCUGGUAUUUGGCCUCGAAGAUGUAUCUGUUUCCUUGGACAGCUCCAGAGCUGAAGGGACUUCAUAGGUAGUGAUUUUGUUCAACUUCACUGGUGGUCCAACGGUCUCCUUAGCUAGGCCUGGGGGAAUCAGGAGCUGUAAGAUCGGGACACAGAAACAGAGGCUUUGUCUCAUGGAGGCAGGUUUCCCGUGUCCAGCCAGCUCCCUCCCAAUGCCAGCCUUACCUGCUCCGUGCCUUCUAAGCUUUCCCACCCACCCUGUCCGUGUCUCUAGCCUCUUGUGUUUAUUUCUCUCUCCAGCCCAUGCUGCCUUUUGGGCAAAAGGGCCAUAACUUGAGUCCCUGUUGCAUGAAGUUGGAUGUCCUCUCAUGUGUCCUCAGAGGCCCCGGCUUGGGUGUUGUUGUGGUAUUUUGGGAUUUGACGAAGGAGGAGAGAUAGAAUGGCCCAUUGCCUGUUUGUGCUAGCCUCUCUCAGGCUUGACCAAUGACUGCGAUGACAUCUGUGGACAGUAAGCAGGUCCCUGGUGUGAUUGAGUUUCCUGAGUUAAUAUCAGCAUUUGAGAAGCCAGUACGCUGGCUGCUAGUUGUGCUAGUUUGUACCUGGGGCUGGGUUUGGGUUUCAGGUCCCUCCCUUCCUCCCUCUCUACCAAUGCUCGGUCUUAUUAGGAAACAUCGCAUAGCUAACAUAGCAAUUACUCUACAGGCAGCGUAAUAGAAGUCUUCAAAGGUAGAGCUAAUUAGGAACUUUCAUUAAAGAACCUUGUUGCAAUUGGUCAUUCAUUGAUAUUUUUCUGAUCAACAAAUCAAUUAGAGUUUCUUUUGAAUAAUUGCAAGAUCUUUUUUGGUUUCUUCAUGUAUAUGCACGUGUGUGCAUGUGUCUGUGUACGUGUAUGUGUAGGGAGAAAGAGAGAGAGAGAAGAGGAUAUGGAAGUUGCAGAGGUGGAUGGUGGAUUAUUUUCUGUUAACAUCCCUAGCGUGCUAAUGCAUGGACCCAUCUCAGCUCUACACACCAGCUCUGGGCAGCCAGAUAGUCUUGGAGCUUGCCUUAUAGAAAGUGGGGAUCCUAGACCCAUUUUUUUUCCUGUGGCUUCCCUGAGUCUUUCUGAACAUGACCAAAGCUUGCUUUGCAUCUCUAAACGCUGCUGGGUGGUCCUUGCCAUUGGGAUUCCGGAAUUCUGGCUCUGUCUGGGGUGACGCUUGGGUAUCUCAUUGGUACUUAUCCAACCUCAGUUGAGUUGCUAUAGAAACCAAAUCUCAUGGCCUGCUGGGGGCCUGUUUAGUUCCUUAUGUCCUCCCUCUGUCUGGGGAGAUAAUGUGGAUGGUGACACUGUAGUUCAUUGCUCAAGUGGGGAAUUCCCUGUGUCAUCCAGCAAGGCUUUUUAAGGACCCAACCACAGAAGGGAGUCAAUAACCUUUGGGCAUGUUUUUCCCCUUGCUCGGUGGGGAACAUUCACCUUCAGAGAGGCUGCCCAGCUGCUCCCCGGGACUCAGCAGGGCUCACUGGGACCGGUGGUUCCCAAGUCUUUUUGAAUGCCUGGGAAGCUCCCAGGAAACCUCCAGAGUAGUUGGGAGCCCUGGAAUUGAUAACCACCCUGAGGACAGCCUCGGUCUGUCAUCGUGGGAGACAAGAGAGGCAGAUGGCAGGGCAUUAUAGCAUUUUACAGCUCAUGGGCCAGCUGAUAGGAUAGUGAAUAUAAUUGCCAUGUGGCAAAUUAAAGUGGCUCCAAGUGAGCUAACAGGUGUCGUUUCAUUAUUAAUUUCAGUCAAAGUCAUUAGUUGCUAUUUAAGGAUCUCGCUGCUUGGCCACCUACACCAUGCUUCAUCUGGCUGCUCUGGCUUUUGAAGAAGAGAGAGAAAAGUGCUUUUUUCUCCUCCCCCUUUCUUCAUCCUUGGAGAAUUUACUGUGGUGAAAAACUGGGUAAGUCUCAGGACUCUCUUUUCCCAGCACAGAAGGAGUCUGAACAAGUAAGUGAAGUAAGUUUGUAUGCUGGCAAGCCCCAGCCCUGUUAAGUAAGGUCCUGCUAUGUGCUUGUCACCUUUCUACAUUAAAGCCUCAUAGUCUCAAAACGGUCCUUUGCACAAGGAUUUCUUUCUUUAAUGACUUAGCACACAGGUCAGUAUCCCGUGUGUGCUUAGAAAGGAUUUGUAAUCUCUAUUUCAUAUGCAGGAAGUCUCUCUUUUAUAAUUUUAAUUUUAUUUUUUAUUGAUAAUAAAUACACACAUGUACAUGUGAUAUUUAAUAUAUUAAUAUAAUUUGUAAAGGUCAAAUGAGUGUUAUUAAGAUAUCUAUCACAUUAAAUGUUUGCCUUUAUGCUAGAAACAUUUGAAUUACGCUUUUAGCUGCUUCAAGAUACACAAUAAUUUUCUUAAAUAUUGUCACCCUACUGAUCUGUCAAACACUAGGUCUUAUUUCUGCAAAGAUAUUUUUAUUUUUAUUUCUCACAUGAGGAAAUUGAGGCUGAGAAAGGUUAGAGGAAGCAGCAGAGUUGACCUAGCUAGGCAGUGGCACAGCUAGGAAUUGAUCCCUGGCCUCUGAUUCCAAAGCCCACUCCCUCUGUGUUCUACUUGAGAGCCAAUGCAGUGCCAGGCAGGGCUGAUUCCUCAUGUGCUGGGGUCUCUGAACCACCAUCCUCUCUGACUGGCAGCAUGUCAUCCUGCCCUCAUGUUCUCUGUGAAGCCUAGCCUAGCUAUAUUCCCCUCAGAAGAAUUUUCCAAGUCAUGACUACAACCCACGAAUAGCUCUGCAGAUGCCCAUGAUGGGGGCAUAGUGAUUGAUCUGAAGGAGGUUGGUGGCUAUGGUAGACCAUGAAUGCAGGGCUUCAAGACAAACAGAAACCAGUCCCUGGCCUGCAGGAGUAUCUUGGAAGCCUGCUGGGACCACAGAGACUUUGCUUUGGGAAAACAUAUAUGGGCCUCUGGGAGGGACAGCCUUUCUUCCUCUUUUGGGAGCCAGUCUGGCCCCUCGUGGGAGAAUGGUGGCCCCCAGGGGCUUUUUCUUUCCCCUGGUUUCCCUGUCUAUGUGUGUGUACCCAGCCACCCCGAUCCCGGGUGUCACCAUUUUAUCCUGUCUCUGAGAAAACACAUGAGCGGAAAAACAAACAAGCAUUAGGAAGGAGGGCUCUCCCCUCCACCUUGGCUACCUGUGCGGAGUGAGGGACCCUGAGCCAGGUAGGAGGAGGGAAGGUGACGGAGAUUAAAUAGCAGGUAUCAGACACUCAGGGAAAUGCGUUCGGAUUCACACUGAGUGGGUCAGGAGCCCCAGGUACCAAAGUCAAACAGGCUGACUCCUGUGGUGGCCUGGCUGUUUCUCUUGAAUGUGAAGGAGGAGGAGGGGAGCAUGGAGAAACCAGCGACUUAGCAAAUGUGUGCCGAGUCUAUGCAUAUAGGCGAUGGGAGUUGGACUCGGAAAAAAGCUGCCUGUAACUCCUUAGCAAGCACUUGCUGUAUGCCAGGCUCUAGAUGACAACCUUUACCUGCUCUAUCUUGAUAGGUCUUCAUAAGUAGUCUCUGGAGGUCAGUGUCAUUAUUGUGCCCAUUGUACGGGGGCGGGGGGCGGGGAUGAGGCACUGAGCAAUGAAACCUCUUGCUCAUGAUCUUACAACUAGUAAAGAAGCAGACUCAAGAGGCCAACCCAGGCUCAUCUGACUUCCAUGCCAGGUCCCUGCUAGGAUUAGGGGUAGGGAGAACAGCUUAGGAGCUGGGGCAGGAGAGGGCUUAUAGGUGGAGUACAGAAAGCCCAUCCUGGAUGGAGAGGUGGCGGGGUCCAGGUGGUGACGGGAACCCUGGGUGCCAGGCUUCUUCCUGCAGGCACCGGGAACAUUCACUCUGCUCACCUCCUGGCUCUGGAUCCUGAGGCAUCCAUUCCUCAGGGUGGCUGCUCUUGCCUGAGAGCGGGGUGGGGGUGAGAGUGAAGGCUCAACAUGGGUGCAGUGAGCGGUAAGGUAGGAAAAGCUAUGGGUGACUAGAGUGAGGUCUUGGCCCCGUAGGCAAGGACAUGCCUAAAGCAAGUGAACCUUUAGAGUCUCCUGGGUGAUCUCUUUCCUGAAACCCGCCCUCACUCUAAGACCUGUGAGUGACCCCAGCACAUCUCCUUGCUGGCUCAGUUGGGCUGGGGCUGUCCCUAGCAGAUCCAGGACAGUUCUGAAGCCAUCCUGAGGCUGUGAUGGCUCAGGUAGAAGACAAGGCCUGGAGGGAGGGAGUGAAAUCCUACUCUCCAGUCCUGCCAACUAGGGACCCUGUCUUUGUCUGCAAGACCAAAAAAAGAAAAAAAAAAAAAAAAAAAGAAAC